UGACCGUGGCCAAUAUGAUACG
rnacentral:miRNA from 12 species